UCUUUUGCGAGCUUUUCUUCUGUAGCCUUUGGGGUUUGGUGGGAAGCCAACUACAACUGGUUACAGCCUCUCCCAGACCAAGACUAAUGCUGGCAGUGUUUUCAAGCAGCUCUGCUACUGGUAUCUCCACAAGGGAUUCCUUUAACAGUAGAGACAAAAAGUACAGACGAAGUUGAAGAAGUCAAGCAAACAUUUUGCAAAACAAGUCAAAGAUCUUCUGAACUGAGCCAUGGCAAAGUCCUGUCCUUCGGGAGAGGGGGAGCUUGUUCUGCCUGCAGAUUAGCCGUAGGACAUUUAGUGGUGUGGCAUGGAAAGAGGUAUGUACAGAAGGACGUGCUGCUUCCAAAGCGGUGUGGAAAAGGAGAGUAAUAAAUGACAGUGAGUAGGAACUCACAGUAUAUAUAACAGAUAUUGCUUGUAUCACUUAACAUACCACUGGCAAAUGAGUAGAAUUUAGUGAUGGAAAGGUUAUAAAAACUAGACUAGAAAAACUCACCCAGGCCAGCACAAUAAGGAAGGGACACAUUCUUGACUGUUCCUUCAUCUACAGUGGAAAAGAACAAUCCACCUGCAAAAGCGAGUCCAGAGAAAGGCAGGCAGUACGCCCUUUUCCAGAAGAAAACUCACCAAAUGGUGAUGAGAAAAUUAAAUUUUCUGUCAAGGCAGAAUAUGUGAUAAUACAGUUGAAUGGACGUGUGGUGGUCUGUGUGGAACAGGGAACUGGUAUCAUCCUUUGUGUACUCCAGCAGCCAUUCAUCAUGAGAUAAUAAUUAGAAUUUAGAGAUGAUUAGGCCAGCUGAAAGCUUACCUUUGCACAGAUUGUUUUGCUGUUGUUUAUAUUUCCUGUACUUGUAUAUUUUAUGGCUUGGAUAAGUAAACAAUAAAAUCUGCCUUAACUCUAUUUUAUAACUUCUAGUAAUAAAUAAUAUUUUGGACAUAUUUUGGGAUCCUACUGGGUUACAAAUUAGCCUACCUGCUACUCUUCUAUAUCAGUAUUAAUGCCAUCUACUUUCCAUAGAGCAGUGCCAGAAGUUCUUGGAGGUCAUCUGCUCCGAUGCUAACUCAUUUUGGUUCCUGUCUUGUGUUGAAAGCUGGUGAAGAUGUUGUAUUUCAAGACAGGAGUAUGCCUUGAAGAAGAUAUUUCUGGCAACAUCAUCUACAAGCUAAUCAACAAAAAUCAAGUGCCUGCUACUAAAUUUGCAGGGUCUGCAGGAUUUUUUCCCUCUAAAUAUCCUGGCUCGAAGUUUUAAUGUAACUGCUUAUUAGUCAAAACAAUGAGAGGAGCUUUAAGGAACUGGAGGCAAUGCACAGAGGGCCCUGUUAGCACACUGACAGUUAAGUGAAGCCAUGUGAAAGGGGAACAUUUAAAAGACUGUACAGGACUCACACACCAAAAUGAAGUUGCCAUGGAUACAGGUGUUAUGUAUACAUAUCCAUCUUUAUCGAAAAACACUGUAGAGGCUGAACUUAAUCUAAGUGUAAGGCUUGGGUAAGAGAAAGGUUGUUGUGCAGAGCAGUGAGGAUGGAAGUAAAACAAUCUCUUCUUUGGUGAGAGGUAUUGAUGGACUAGAAACAAAAGCAAAACAAUAAAGCAGUUGAGCCAAGAUCAUGCACAAACAGAAGAGAAUACCUUCACCACAGAACCUGAAUGUGUACAAUAAAAUACCCCACGGAAGUCACAGGGGAAAAUAGAAAAGGGUGUUUCUUUGGCUCAUUGAAAUUAGGGUUAAAAAUCUUAGUAGCUUCACUGGAGCCAUAUGUUUUAUUCUUUUUUUUUUGUAAAUACUUUUAAUCACCUGAUUAAUGCCAGAAUUUUUCUUCCCUUCUUUUUCUUUUUUCUGAUUUCUUUUUCAUAAACAUAAUUGUCAUUGAAAUAGGUGGUUAUAGAGCUGUCCUUGUCUGCUGAUAGGAUCACAGAGGAGCUGAGGAGGUACCCCCUACUGGGGGUAGGUGCCAGUUUCCAGAAGAACAUUUUUUGCUCUGUAUUGACCCUGUGCUGAGUUGAGAAAUGUGUCUAGACCAGGUUCAUCAAUUUGGAGCAACUGUUUAGGAGGCCAUUGCUCCCAAAGAUACCUCCAGGUCUCAGGGACGUGACACUCCCAGGGAACCUCAGCGGACUCCAGCAGUCUCUCCUGCUCAACUUGCUGAGUGAAAAUGAGUGAACAGAGGUAGUGGAAACCAGAUGGUCAGAAACAUACUAAAGGCUCUCAUGAAGGGAAUUUAAUUGAGAGGGAAGGAUUUGUCACCUUUCACUUCUCCCUAUCAGGGCUUCUGAAAUCAAACAGAGUGAAAUUUGGCAGAGCUCAUCAUGGAUCUGAAGUCUAUUUCUACUAAAUAACUUAGUGAAUCAGUGACUAACAUUAGAACUAAAUCAGCAUGAGAUUACAAUGCAUGCAAAUUGCUGCCACUGCAAUGAUAUGUGCGAUUCAAACAGGUCUGCCACAGAGGCCUUCUGUCUAAGUAUCCUGAAAGAUAUUGCAUAUAUCCUUCUGGUUCGCUCCUUCAAGACCUGAAGAGACUACUGUGACCACAUUGUAUAGUAUAUUACAAAGAACGCUAUUAAAAAUUACUGAAGUCAGGCCUGGAUCAGUUGUGUCACCCACAUGUGAGCUCAGGCAUACUCUGAGAAGACCUUCAGUCUUGAAUCAAGAUGGAGGGUCUGUCCUAGAAAAGCUGUUUCAAACAUAAGUUGUUCUGACCCUGUGAAAUGUUUGUCUUACUUUUAUUCUAAGUGUUGGUAGAGAUUUUUCAGGCUGGAAGAACAUUUGCACUACAAGUCUUUAUUUCUCAGGUGAAACUGAGCUUUUCUAAAGUGGACAUAUAAUUUUGUGUCCUCUCCAUUGUCCCUGAGAUGUGCCAGUCAUACACAGUCCUGCACACUCUUUUGCUAAAUUAUAAGCUGACAGUAUGCACAGAAACAAUUGCAGCACUUAAGCUUUCUGUUGUCUGUUUAAACUUAUUUUAAAUGAUGA